GAGUUUGAUCAUGGCUCAGGACGAACGCUGGCGGCGUGCCUAACACAUGCAAGUCGAACGGACGAGGCCCCUUCGGGGACCGAGUUAGUGGCGAACGGGUGAGUAACGCGUGAGGAACCUGCCUUUCAGAGGGGGACAACAGUUGGAAACGACUGCUAAUACCGCAUGACACACGGAUACCGCAUGGUAACCGUGUCAAAGAUUUAUCGCUGAAAGAUGGCCUCGCGUCUGAUUAGCUAGUUGGUGGGUAACGCCCACCAAGGCGACGAUCAGUAGCCGGUCUGAGAGGAUGAACGGCCACAUUGGGACUGAGAUACGGCCCAGACUCCUACGGGAGGCAGCAGUGGGGAAUAUUGGGCAAUGGGGGAAACCCUGACCCAGCAACGCCGCGUGAAGGAAGAAGGCU
rnacentral:rRNA from 1 species